rnacentral:rRNA from 7 species
CUUGACACUGAACAUUGAGCCUUGAUGUGUAGGAUAGGUGGGAGGCUUUGAAGUGUGGACGCCAGUCUGCAUGGAGCCGACCUUGAAAUACCACCCUUUAAUGUUUGAUGUUCUAACGUGGACCCGUGAUCCGGGUUGCGGACAGUGUCUGGUGGGUAGUUUGACUGGGGCGGUCUCCUCCUAAAGAGUAACGGAGGAGCACGAAGGUUGGCUAAUCCUGGUCGGACAUCAGGAGGUUAGUGCAAUGGCAUAAGC